rnacentral:lncRNA from 10 species
AGUCUCUUCAGCAACAUGAUUCUGGGGAGGCAGGCCUGUGGAAAGCUCACAGAAUGGUAGAAUUAGAAGCCAUCACAAAAGUAACCCAGUGCAACUGCCUGCCCAAAGCUGGAAUCUCUCCCACAACGUCCCUGAUCAUUGGACACUCAGCGUUUGCUUGGACCUUGGGGGUGAAACUUUAGUUCCUGGUCUGCCCCAACUACACAUUGAAUUCUCUCUUCACAGCUGACUUAGUUCUGCUGUCAGAGAAUAUUCUUUUUUUUUUUUUUUUUUUUUUGAGAUGGGGAUCUCACUAGUCUCAAAUCCCUUGCCUCAAUCAAACCUCCCACAUUGGCCCCACAAAGUGCCAUGAUUACAGGUGAGAGCCACCACGCCCGGCCAAUAACAUUACUUAUAAGGAAAUCUGUUGCAUUGCUCUGUUAAAAGGGGAUCUGCUAAAACAUUCUUUCUUGCUAUGAACCAACAUCUACUGCUCUCAAAUGUCCAUGUUUUGACAUUAGUUCUGCUUUUUAAAGUGAUGUAGAACAGAACAUACAGGCUGUGCCUAGGGCCUGAGAUAAAAGAAUUGGGUUCAGAAGAAAGGCUGGCAGAUUAUUGAGCUGCAUUCAACUCAAGCCUGUUCCACUGGACACAUGUUCAUUGAGCAUCUAUUUUGUGCCAGGCAUUCUGUGAGCUGCCGUGAACCAUGAGCACACAAACACAGCCCCUGCCCUAGAGGAGCUUACAGUUUAAGUGAAAAAGGUGACGAGAACCCCAAGGCUCAGCAGGGGAAAGAGAUUUGCAAAGAUGGCCAACAGAAGACAGUCCAGGAUGCUCACAACUCCCUGGGGUGAACGUUACCCCUGCCAAUGUCACACUUCCCCAAGGAGAGAAUACACCCCUGCCCCAGCAGUUCAGGCACAGCUGUCCUGUCUCAUUCUUACAGAACAGAGGGUCUGCAGGCAUCUCAGUAAGAUACUAAAGCAAUUUGUUUUAUUUGUCCAAGGGAAUACUGCCCUUAUUUGACUGAAUAAGCAUAAAUAGCCAGGGAGGGGUCUGUUUGUGGCGUCACCAUCUGCACCAGCAGAAGAGCCCUCACACAUUGUCUCUUUCCCAGCAGCUGCAGUUCUCCUAAAGAAGUCAGAUCAAGUUCAGGUUUAAAAUAAGUAAUCUGGAUUUGCAAGGUGCCAUGAGGAUGGCAGUGCCACUAUACCAAUUCCCCAGGGAACUAUUCCCAGGGCUCCAGGCCCCAUGGUUUGACUUCUCUUCUCUGGCAUGAGAAAUCAGUGUAUUCUCACAUUGUCUCCUGAGAUUCAGAUCCUCUGCCAAACGAUGGAUCUGAAACCACUCUCAUCUCUACCUCCAUGCUUCAACACCUCCAUCUGCUCCAGAGUGGACUACUUGGGACAGAUACAUAAAAAUAAAAGACAGUGUUUCAGGGAAAGGGAAGAAGUGUGGACCUUUGGUGGAUACCCAUUCUACUUCAUUGGAUCAUCCUGAUAACUCAAUAUGCUCAGUGUUAUUAUCACAUUGUGUAGAUGAGGCUGAGAACAUGCGCUUGUCUGUGGUCACACUACUGUGCAGUGAUGGAGUUGGAAUACCAGCUCAUUUGUCAAAGCCUGGGUUCCCCUCAAAGCUUCUUAAACUUUGGCAGGACUAAAAUACUCCUAAUGCAAGAGAUGGGUAAAUGCACACUCCCGGGUGAGCUUGGGGCUCAGUAUACACAGUCCGUGGUGUUCAGUCAGCAUGGAACAUUGUUCCUGGCCUUUCACUGAGAAGACUCUCAUUGGUCCUUCCCUCAGCCAGUCAUUUCCUCCAGGAAGCUAUUUCUGAGCUCCCCGGUCUAGGCUCCGUUGCCAACCCCCGAGGUGCUCCAAUAUUGCAUAUUCUGUGAGGGCACUCAGCUUGUGUUGUGUUGCUUAAUUAUUUGUCGGUGUGGCCUCAGGAGGUCAGGGACCACAUCUGCCUUGUGUCUUCCUAUAGGUACCCCCAGCAGCCAGCACACUGCUCAGCACAGUAUAACUGCCCAAUGAAUAGCUGUUGAGUAAACAUUGACUCCAGCUAAAGCUUCUAUCUCAUGUGUAAAUUGCCUCUCGAACAGAUCUGUUAGUUAUAAUCCAGCCUCUUCAAACACAGCACCAACAACAGAAAAUUCAGAAAAUGAAGAGGCAAAGACUGGAUGCAGUGGCUCAUGCCUUUAAUCCCAGCCAUCUGGGAGGCCAAGGCAGGAGGAUUGCUUAAGCCUGGGAGUCAGAGACCAGCCUGGAAAACAAAGCGAGACCCUGUCUCUACAAAAAAAAAAAUUUUAAUUAGCCAGGUGUGAUGGCAUACACCAGUUAAAAUGGGAGGAUCACUUGAACCUGGGAGGUCGAGGCUACACGAGCAGUGAUGGCACUGCUGCACUCCAGCCUGGGCAACAAGUCAACCCUGCUCAAAAAAAAAAGAGAGAGGCAAACCCUUCUAUGUUCAUCCCACACCAUACCCAUUCUACUCCAUAUUCUUUGUUGAUUGUUUGGGUUUCGUUUUGUUUUGUUUUUUGAGACAGGGUCUCACUCAGUUGCCCAGGCUGGAGUGCAGUGGCACAAAUACAGCUCACUGCAGCCUCAUCCUCCUGGGUUCAAGGGAUUCUCCCACUUCAGUCUCUUGAGUAGCUGGAACUACAGGUGCAUGCCACCAUGCCCAGCUAAUUUAAACAAUUUUUUGUAAAAACGGGGCUCUCACUAUGUUGCCCAGACUGGUCUUGAACUCCUGGCCUCAAGCUAUCCUCCCGCCUCAGUGUCCCAAAGUGCUGGGAUUAUAGACAUGAGACAUCAUGCCAGCCUACGGCAUAUUCUCUGUAUUCCAGGCACACUGGCCCUCCUUGAGUUCCUUAAAUGCUCUAUGAUCCCUCCACCGCAUGGCUUUUGCACACCCCAUUCCCUCUAAUCCCCACUCUUGCUCUUUCUCCAGAUCUCAGCUCAGUCCCAGUUCAUGUUCUUGGGGCACCAUUUGGCUCUCUCUCAUACCUUUAAGCACAUGGUUUGUGUCUGAUUGCAUGUCUUGCACUGCGAAGGCAGGUGUGAGGUUUUUUUGGUCUUUGUUUACCCUCGUGUCUCCAGCAUCUAGUGGCUGGCAUAGUGUACAAGCUCAGUACACUGUGCCUGAACAAUGAAGUGAUGUUUAAAUGGAGGUCUGUGCAGGUGGAGUAUUCUAAGCAGGAGAAACAGGUAGAGCAAAGCCCUGAGGAAAGAGAUAUCAAGUUGCAUUUAAGACUGAACGAAGCCCACUGUAGCUGAGCCAUAGAGAAUGAGGGGGAAGAGCGCAUCAUGGUAAGGCUCUAGAGAGGUAGGCAGAGCCUCACAGGGUCUUAAAAGUGAGUUAAGACCUUUGACUUGCCACCAUCGGGUUUUAAGCAGGGUGGUAAUUCUCCCGUUCUGCACAGGACCUCUACUAAUGCCACCCCAUGAGGGAAGGUGGUCUUUUAAACCAGAGGUCAGCAUAUUGCAUGCAUGCACAUUAAAUGUCAUCAUAGUUAGCUGAGUCUAUUGUUCUAACCUUCUGAGAUCAUUUUGAGCCUUCUUUGUGCCUUCUAGCUUGGCAUCAUCAGCAAUUUGUGGUAAUAGAAGGGGGCCCGCCUAUCAAGAAAUAUCAGAGAAAACAAAGGCAGUACAGUUCCACGGGGCUCCAACCACAACACAAGUCCUAGCUCCUGUGGCAUUGGGAAUUCCAGCCAUGGAUGUCUGGGACUAUAACCCGGAUCUCUAAUAGACUACAAGUUCAGCAGUGUCAUCCUUGCAUACUCUAACGUUUUAUGUACAUAUCCUUUUUUUUUUAUUUUUUAAUUUCCCUUUUUCCUCUUUAAGCCCUCCCUAAUAAAGGACGUGGAGAGGAAGAGUUCCUUGCUUACUUCAACCAUAUAAACUGGAUUUUUCUUUUCUUUUCUUUUUUUGAGACAAGGUCACUCUGUCACCCAGGCUAAAGUACAGUGGCACAAUCAUAGCUCACUGCAGCCUCAACUUUCUAGCUUCCUAUCCUCCUGCCUCAGCCUCCCAAGUAGCUGGGAUUACAGGCACAUGCAACUGGACCUGGCUUUAUUUUUUUUGUAGAGACAGGGUCUUGCUAUGUUGCCCAGGCUGGUCUUGAACCCCUGGGCUCCAAUAAUCCUUCCACUUCUGCCUCUCGAAGUGCUGGAAUUAUAGUCAGGGGCACCAUGCCCAGCCUAUAAAUUGGAUUUCUUUUUUCCCUGAAGAAAUUUUUAUUGUUUUCUUCCUGCUGUCUGAUGUGUUUUAAUAAAUAGAAUGUUUGUCUUUUGUUUGCAUAUAUUCCAAG